GAUGAACGCUGGCGGCGUGCCUAAUACAUGCAAGUCGAGCGAAUGGAUUAAGAGCUUGCUCUUAUGAAGUUAGCGGCGGACGGGUGAGUAACACGUGGGUAACCUGCCCAUAAGACUGGGAUAACUCCGGGAAACCGGGGCUAAUACCGGAUAACAUUUUGAACCGCAUGGUUCGAAAUUGAAAGGCGGCUUCGGCUGUCACUUAUGGAUGGACCCGCGUCGCAUUAGCUAGUUGGUGAGGUAACGGCUCACCAAGGCAACGAUGCGUAGCCGACCUGAGAGGGUGAUCGGCAACACUGGGACUGAGACACGUCCCAGACUCCUACGGGAGGCAGCAGUAGGGAAUCUUCCGCAAUGGACGAAGGUCUGACGGAGCAACGCCGCGUGAGUGAUGAAGGCUUUCGGGUCGUAAAACUCUGUUGUUAGGGAAGAACAAGUGCUAGUUGAAUAAGCUGGCACCUUGACGGUACCUAACCAGAAAGCCACGGCUAACUACGUGCCAGCCGCCGCCGUAA
rnacentral:rRNA from 1 species